GACCACUAUGGUUGCCUAAGUGGUUAGAGUGUCUGCCUCUGAUGCAGGAGGUCAUGGGUUCAAACUCCAGCCAAGUCA